UGUCAGAAGCACCUAGUGUUGGUGAGUUUG
rnacentral:piRNA from 1 species